UACGUAGGGGGCGAGCGUUGUCCGGAUUUAUUGGGCGUAAAGAGCGUGUAGGCGGCUUGGUAGGUCUGCUGUGAAAACUCGGGGCUCAACCCCGAGACGUCGGUGGAAACCACCUUGCUAGAGUCCGGAAGAGGAGAGUGGAAUUCCUGGUGUAGCGGUGAAAUGCGCAGAUAUCAGGAGAACACCGUGGCGAAGGCGGAUCUCUGGCGUAAC
rnacentral:rRNA from 1 species